rnacentral:tRNA from 1 species
GGAGAGUUGUCCGAGAGGCUUAAGGAGCACGACUGGAAAUCGUGUGUUACGUUGAUAGCGUACCGAGGGUUCAAAUCCCUCACUCUCCGCCA